CAAACGCACGCGCUCACACGAGGGCACUCGCACACGCGCGCGCUGCGCUCCGGCGAUCCGCCUCGGAGCUGACACCACCCUCCGUGUUUUGCAGGUCGCCGCUCUCUGAUGGAAGGCUCUGAAUAACAAAGACAUGUUUGAGAGCAGCAGCGGCAUCAGCAGCAGCAGCAGCAGCAGCAGCAGCAGAAGCAGAAGCAGCAGCAGGCUGGGCUGAGCGCUGACGUCAAGGAGCCAUGACUGUGCCAAGCAGCAUCCAGACUCCUGUCCACCACACGCGCACGCACACAAACACACACACACACACAUACACACACACUGACCUGAUGCUGCCACUGUGGCCUCUUUGGAGACACCCCUUGUCAAAAGUUAGAAAUACAUCACCCUGUGUGCUGUGAUUGACUCCUCAGAGUUGUGAGAUGUGUUCAGGGUCACAGUGAAGUUUUCACUCUCAGAGGGUUUUAUACAUUUAUAGUAGAAGUCACUACACAAGUGAUACACUCUGCUGGUGUGUUUGGAGUCCUGUGGAGCCUCUGCUUGCUGGCCUGUGCAUCUACCCCAGCUGUCUAUACUGGAACAAUAGGCGCCAUUUGUCCUGCUAAAAGGUGACAGGAAGCAUUGAUUUCAGCCUGUUCCAAGCUUGUAAGCCAUCCCUGAAUUGGCUAAUGUGAACAUUUCCCUCUAACGGAGGUUGGAAAAUUUUAGGCAAUCAUGAUGCACAGUAAUUGUAUCAGGAUGCAGGACCUAAGUUUGGAUUCCAGGAUACCAAAACACCCAAUCAAUUUUAUCGAGCCGUUAAUUGCAAUAAAGCCCUGUAAUGUUCAAUAGGAGAUUCUAGUAAGGUGCAAUGCAAACAGCUGACAUCUAUACAAAAAGGUAGUAUUUAAAGAUAGUUGGAAACAAAGAACAAAUUGGGAAACACAAAAAACUGCAUUUACAGUAUAUCUAAAUCACUAAGGAUUUGGUCUAAUUAAAGCCAGCGCACUAAGUUAUGUUAGAGUUUUUUUAUACAACACUCGGCUUCUAAUCAUAAAAAAUGUACUUUUUUAGUUUUAGUUAUUCAUAUACUCCAAAUGAAGGCAUGCAGUGGAAGAUGGAGUAAUUUAGAUAUAUUUUCAUACCAUACAGCAAAUUGUAAAUGCAGUAAAGCAGCCAUUUAGUGCUGUCACAAAGGUAGGAAUUACUAAAUUGUCGGCCAUUAAAGAGCUAGUUACUCAUUCACUGAUUUCUCUCAGGCUACUUAAGCUUGACACCCUCAGCUGGGAGAACUAUUUUAUUCUUGUAUGGUUAAAUGUUUAAACCAUCAAAGUUACAACAGUUAAAAAUUCAGGGUCAGUAUAGCUACACUCCAUCAAUAUGUAGGUAUGUGAUGCAUGUUUUGGCUAAUGAUAUGAAUAAGAUGACAGUUAACACUCAUAUUUUUGUCCAGAAUAAUUGAGCAUCAUAAUAUAAAAUCUUUCCUGUACUCCACUGCAAUGGUUUGAAAAGGAUCGACCUUUUUAGACCUGUGAUCACACUGUUGUGACACCUUCUCCCUCAAGAUGAUGAUGUCGUCUGUGAUGUAUGCCAGCACAAGACACUGAUCCAAAUAUAGAGGGGAAUUUUCCUUAUCACAACUGGGUCAAGGAGACUGAGUCAAAAAUGAUCUGUUAGUGAAAUGCUUCAAAACUUGUGUGUGCACAGAUGUUCAACAUGUUGCAGUGCAGUACAUCAGCAGGCUCCAGUGAAGACCAAGUGUGACAUCAGAUUUACCCGACAUGCUUUACUGCCAGGGAUAUGCUGGUCUGGUGGUUAACAUUGUCACCUCGCAGCAAGUACACAGGCCCCCUUCCCGAGGAGCCAACUCUGUUCUGAUUGGCCAGCCUCAGGAAGCUGACCUUCGGGAGACAUCCACCAGCUCCAGGAGCCACGUCAACAAAUCAUGAAACAAACUAUGAAGUUCUUUGGUCACAUGGCUUCUAUGAAGAUGAACGGACUUUCCCACCUGGUUUAUGAAUGAACAACCACCAGGCUCCAGAGACCAGCCCACAUCCUCCGCAACCAACCAACCACUGGCUGUCUUCCAGUCAAAAUGUGUUCACAGUGCACACUUUGCUCUGCUGUGGACAGAGAGCUCAUACUGCUGCGGUGGUAUGUCCGAAAAGAGGAAAAAGAGAGAUAGUGUUGGAAUCAUACGUUCCCUAGAGUCUACUUACUACGAUGGUCAAGAGCUGUAUUGGUAUAUUUUACCUCAAUUUCUUUGCUGAGACAUAAAAAUGUGAGUUAAAUUAUAG